AUAACUUCGGGAAACCGGAGCUAAUACCGGAUAAUAUUUUGAACCGCAUGGUUCAAAAGUGAAAGACGGUCUUGCUGUCACUUAUAGAUGGAUCCGCGCUGCAUUAGCUAGUUGGUAAGGUAACGGCUUACCAAGGCAACGAUGCAUAGCCGACCUGAGAGGGUGAUCGGCCACACUGGAACUGAGACACGGUCCAGACUCCUACGGGAGGCAGCAGUAGGGAAUCUUCCGCAAUGGGCGAAAGCCUGACGGAGCAACGCCGCGUGAGUGAUGAAGGUCUUCGGAUCGUAAA
rnacentral:rRNA from 1 species